GCCUGGUGUGACGGUGCACACCUGUAGUCCCAGCUACUCGGGGCAGGGCUGAGGUGGGAGGAUCACCUGAGCCCAGGAGGUCUAGGCUGCAGUGAACCAUGAUCGUGCCACUGCACUCCAGCCUGGACAACAGAGUUACUGGGGGGUUUGUUUUGUUUUUGAAACAGGGUGUCACUCUGUCACCCGGGCUGGAGUGCAGUAGUGCGAUCACAGCUCACUGUAGCCUUGACCUCCUGGGCUCAGGUGAUCUUCCCACCUCAGCCCCC
rnacentral:SRP_RNA from 1 species